rnacentral:rRNA from 1 species
UGCGUAGGUGGUUACCUAAGCAGGGGGUGAAAGGCAUUGGCUUAACCAAUGUUAGCCCCCUGAACUGGGCUACUUGAGUGCAGGAGAGGAAAGCGGAAUUCCUAGUGUAGCGGUGAAAUGCGUAGAUAUUAGGAGGAACACCAGUGGCGAAGGCGGCUUUCUGGACGAAAACUGACGCUGAGGCUCGAAAGCGUGGGGAGCGAACA